GUAUAAGGCUAAUAUAAGUAGCUCUUAAUAUAACUUUGGCCGUAAUCAGAGUGAACCUCUGGUUAUAAAUCAUCAAAUUGACGGGAACACCCUAAAACUAUCUUAACCAACCAAGUAUAGUAAUAUAAUUUGGGGCGCAGGUAAUGACUCGCGGUAUGGUAAAAUCAAGAUUAGAUAUUACAAUGGGCAAUCCGCAGCCAAGCUCCAUCAUUCUUUAGCUUUUAUAAUAAAAUAAAUGUUUUAUUGCUAUGCAUGUCGGCUUAAAAUAUUAUUUUUAUAGCAGGAUGAGGGUGUGCAGUUCAUCGACUAAAUGUUGGUUGGCUGGGCUAUUGUUUCUAGUAACAUAGUCCUGGCUUAAGAUAUAGUCAGACCCCACUCGAAAGAGUGCA
rnacentral:ncRNA from 1 species